rnacentral:rRNA from 1 species
UACAGAGGUCUCAAGCGUUGUUCGGAUUCAUUGGGCGUAAAGGGUGUGUAGGUGGCGCCGUAAGUCGGGUGUGAAAUUUCGGAGCUUAACUCCGAAACUGCAUUCGAUACUACGGUGCUUGAGGACUGGAGAGGAGACUGGAAUUCAUGGUGUAGCAGUGAAAUGCGUAGAGAUCAUGAGGAAGACCAGUGGCGAAGGCGGGUCUCUGGACAGUUCCUGACACUGAGACACGAAGGCCAGGGGAGCAAACGGG